AGUCAACGAGAGUCUGCGGAUCUGGGACAGCGAUCAAUAGCCAGCCGUCUAUACAGCCUGGGCAUCAGGAGAGCCUAACCAGACACCUAUUCAUGAGCAAGACUGUGUUAUCAUGUAUUUCAGUCAGGCAUAUAAAUGGGCAAACUUGGAAUGUUCUGACAAACGCCUCUACAUUUGCGAAAGAUAGUAGGUACCUACGAAUAAGCUUCUGACCCUGAAAGUUAAAGUGUUUGCGAGCUAAUGUCUGGACCUAAUGUAUUAAGGUACAUGUUUUAUGUGUGAAAGCUAUGCUAAUAAUCAAGAAAUAUGGUCCAUCAUUAAUUAUAUUUUGGAACGAAACACUUAUACUUUUGAAAUAUAGCAUAUAAAAGAUGGACCAUAUUUCUGUAUUAUUAUUAUUAUAAUUAUUAUUAUUAUUAUUAUUAUUCAGGAACUGUCUAAAUAGACACCCAUUGGGAUGAGAAAGGAACUUAAGUUUUUAAUAAAGGUUCCAUUUCAUCAACUUUACCUGUAACUGUUAGUACAUACAAGAAGUUUGGUUUGUUUCAGGUCUGUCCGCCAAUGAGUGGAUGUUCGUGUUUGUUGAUGCGUGUUUAGUCAGUCAUUGCUGAAGAGUAUCAACAGCAGUUCAACAUUUUCCAUGGAGAAUAUUUCCAAUCAGUCCCUAAAGUCCGUUGGAUGUUUUGAACGGUGGUGCAGGAAGAUCGUUGUCCCUGCCAUAUACAGCGCACGACCUCAAAGGACAUGGACUCUCCCACCAUAGGUAACGGACAU